rnacentral:rRNA from 1 species
AGAAUCAACGCUGGCGGCGUAGCCUAACACAUGCAAGUCGCACGAGAAAGGGACUUCGGGUCCUGAGUAAAGUGGCGCACGGGUGAGUAACACGUGAAUCAUCUACCUUCGAGUGGGGAAUAACUGAGAGAAAUCUUAGCUAAUACCGCAUAAUACCUACGGGUCAAAGCAGCAAUGCGCUUGAAGAGGAGUUCGCGGCAGAUUAGUUAGUUGGCGGGGUAAUGGCCCACAAGACGAUGAUCUGUAUCCGGCCUGAGAGGGCGCACGGACAC